ensembl:lncRNA
CCCAAAACACCCACCACAGAGCCCACCACCCAACUUCCGCCCCAGUCUUCCCGACUUGCUCCAAUGGCGGUUGGGAUUUGCGUUGACCCCGCCCACCGCCUCUGAUUGGUUCACCUAACCCCGCUGACUUCAGGCACAACUUCUAAUUGGGCCGUUCUGCUUCUUAUUGGCCUCGUCGCAGACGCCUAGCAGUCACCCACAGGCCUUUGCGGCCUUGGCACCUUCCUGGCGUCCCCUUGUUCAGACCUGCGAAUUCCCUCUCACCCUCUUCAUCCGCUGAAGGAGGCAGAAUCCCGGGAGCGCUCAUUUUAAGAGGCUGAAGCGAGAGAAGAUGGGGACACUGAGCUCAGAGACGGAGGGGACCCGGCCACCAGGCACAUAGAAUAAAGAGCUGAGCUUGGAGCUCGGCCUCUGGACACUGGAUCCCAGGGCUCCUACCCUUCCCCUGCUGUCAGCAGGUCCCUCCCACAACAGCCACAGCCAAGGGUCUCCGGAUGUCCCAAGAUGGAGGGAGACGUCCAUACCUGAAAUGACGCAGAUGAGCAGGAAACAGGCCGGGCAGCGGAUGGCCCUGGAGUCCAUGGUGCUGAAGCCUGGAGCGGAGAUGCAGGUGAAUGGAGCUAUUCAGAACCCUGCUUAGGAAACAACAGUCCUGCAGCCAGAAAAGGAGGGUCCCUAAGGACAGAGCAGCAGUGCUUGGAGGGAGCUGGAGCGGCCCCUGGGGGUCACAGGAGAGUCGUGGGGGCCUGAGGACAGAGCAGUUGAGCGUGGCUGGGAAAGACAAGCAAGCCGUAACUCUUAUGGAAGAAGCCAGGCACUGAGAGAAGCUGUAAGGGGCGCUGCUGCGGAGAAAAGCGUCUCCCGGGUUGUACUGGAAGAGUAUUUUGGGGGGUGCCAGACAUAGGGCGCUCAGAGGACCCUCUGAGACGGAAUACUACCUCGCUCAGACGGAGCCCAGGCAGAGCCGGAAGCUGCCAGCAGGUGGCAGGAUCCGACCGUUUCCAGCUUCUGGGGCAGCUUGAAUUCUCUCCUCCCUGUAAUCAGCUGAAAUCAAGGCCCAGAAAGGAGGUGAGGAAGUCCGGGGUCCCAGUCCACGGGCCUGCCCUAAUCCCGGCGUCGUGGCACUUCCCAGUCCUCCUCUCGGGCCUGGACGGCGCUGCAAGCCCUGGAGGCAGGGGCCGUCCUCUUCCUCCCCGGUUUGUUCCCGAGACAGCUCUGUGACACCUGCUUACUCCUCCUCUGAGCCCCGCCUCCUCCGAGCUUCAGACCAUUUCCUCUGGACGGUUUCUCAGAGGUGAGGCCGCGCCGAGGAGCAGACCCUUCCCCUCCCUCCCCUGAGCUUCCUGCAGCCCAGGAAGCAAGGCCGGGCUCUCCUGCAGGGAACUGGGCUUCGCAUUCUGCCCUGCCACUCUGGCUGGCUCUCUCGGAAUUUCACCUACUUUUGCUGCUAAUUAACUUAAAUCAAUCGCCAGCACUGCGGAAAAAAAAGUGAAAAGAAAUAAAAACAAAAAUAGAGGGUUACUAAUAGUGCCUCCUUUCUACAAAUACAGCCUCAGUAAUCCUCGCGCUCCUC